GGCGGACUGCCCACUCUGACAGCCAGGAGUCCUGGAGCACGCUCGGAGCAGGAAGGAAGGGCUGGAAGUCGCCAUAAAGAAGGACAAGCUGCAGUCAUUCCUAGGGAAAUGAUGCAUCUCAAGACCGUAAUGCUGCGUGAAACAACCAGACACACGAGCCUCAACGGCACAUGGUGUCUCUUGUACGAGAAACUCAAAAUACAAAUAAAGGACAAAACACAAGACAGAUGAUAGGAAACAGGAGACGGAUCUUUUCCAAAUGGGAAGGGGACAGAGACAUGGAGGGAGAGGGAGACAGGAGGAGCAGGGGACACAAAGAGGAUUAAGAUGUGCUGUGCCCCACCUCCCUACAGAGAAUGCGAUCAUUACGUACCGGAACACAUGCUAAUAAAAACAAAAUUACAGAGGGCUCUGCUCCACACCAGUAGGGCGUGCAGUGGGACUGAGAGUCUGCACACCCCUAGCAUCCUAGAGGUCCAGAAACAGCCCAGCCCCGCUGGCCACUCCUUGCAUGCAGCCUCAGUUUGCCGCCUCCUCGCCCAGUGGAUGCUGCUCUGGAACUGCUGAGACCUCCCUGGUGCUACGCUGGCAGAGACAC
ensembl:lncRNA